UACGGAGGGUGCAAGCGUUGUUCGGAAUCACUGGGCGUAAAGGGCGUGUAGGCGGUCCGCUAAGUCUGAUGUGAAAGCCCGAGGCUUACCCUCGGAAGUGCAUUGGAGACUGGCGGACUGGAGUCCCGGAGAGGAGGGUGGAAUUCCUGGUGUAGCGGUGAAAUGCGUAGAUAUCAGGAGGAACACCGGUGGCGAAGGCGGCCCUCUGGACGGUGACUGACGCUGAGACGCGAAAGCCAGGGGAGCAAACGGG
rnacentral:rRNA from 1 species